rnacentral:rRNA from 1 species
UGUGUAUCAGUACAUGGCAUAUCAAUAAGCGGAGGAAAAGAAACUAACAAGGAUUCCCUUAGUAACGGCGAGUGAAGCGGGAAGAGCUCAAAUUUGAAAUCUUCAAGGUUCUACCUUGACGAAUUGUAGUUUAAAGAAGUGUUUUCUGUUGGAGUUUUGGUAAAAGUUCUUUGGAAUAGGACAUCAUAGAGGGUGAGAAUCCCGUAUUUGACCAUUAUUUCCAGCUGUGUGAUACACUUUCAAAGAGUCGGAUUGUUUGGGAAUGCAGUCCAAAAUGGGUGGUAAAUUUCAUCUAAAGCUAAAUAUUGGCGAGAGACCGAUAGCGAACAAGUACCGUGAGGGAAAGAUGAAAAGAACUUUGAAAAGAGAGUUAAACAGUACGUGAAAUUGUCAAAAGGGAAGCGUUUGACACCAGUGUUGUUUUCUCGAAAAUCAAUUAAAAAUGGCGGGAUUUUGUGUUGUAUUGACUUUAUCAGCUUUCUGCACUUUUUUCCUGUCUUUUUUAAUGCACUUUUCGUUUAACAAGUCAACAUCAAUUUCUUUUGUUGUAAAAGAGUCAUUGGAAGGUGGCUUUCAUUUCGGAUGAAAGUGUUUAUAGCCUUUGACUUCUGCAAUCGGAGAGAUUGAGGUCUGCAGCGUAGAUCCUUCUGGAUUAGAUACAUUUGUGCUAAGUUAUAAGUUUUUCAUAGACAACAUGUUGACUAUGAUUAGUCAUGUAGCUUACUCGCUUAUGCUAAUUUUACCUACGCUUAGGAUGUUGACUGAUAUGUAGUCGU